GCUUUGGGACACACACUUGCGCGGGCUCUAAGUGACUCGUACCGAAUUAGCGGGAAGGGACUAGGGAACAGCUUCUCGAACUUCCGGACUUCAGUCCCAAGGACUUCCGGGCUAAGAACCAGGAACAGCCAUCUAGAGAGCUAAAGAUGCAUACCGACCAUUUCUACAGUUUAAGGAGGAGGUUCUCAGCAACUGAAAGGUUCUCAGCAACUCUGGGGCUUGGGAACUUGAACUCUGUUUCACCCUACAGGUAAAAUGGAGUCUGAAGUCAAAAGGGCAAUAAAUCUGGGCAAGGUGCUUUUGCCUA